rnacentral:rRNA from 1 species
UACGGAGGGUGCAAGCGUUGUUCGGAAUUACUGGGCGUAAAGCGCGUGUAGGCGGCCGAUUAAGUCUGGUGUGAAAGCCCGGGGCUCACCCCCGGAAGUGCGCUGGAAACUGGUCGGCUAGAGUAUGGGAGAGGAAAGUGGAAUUCCCGGUGUAGCGGUGAAAUGCGUAGAUAUCGGGAGGAGCACCAGCGGCGAAGGCGGCUUUCUGGACCAAUACUGACGCUGAGACGCGAAAGCGUGGGGAGCAAACAGG